rnacentral:rRNA from 1 species
AGAACGAACGCUGGCGGCAGGCUUAACACAUGCAAGUCGAACGCCCCGCAAGGGGAGUGGCAGACGGGUGAGUAACGCGUGGGAACAUACCCCUCGGUUCGGAAUAGCUCAGGGAAACUUGGAUUAAUACCGAAUACGGCCGAGAGGCGAAAGAUUUAUCGCCGAGGGAUUGGCCCGCGUCCGAUUAGCUAGUUGGUGAGGUAAUGGCUCACAAAGGCGACGAUCGGUAGCUGGUCUGAGAGGAUGAGCAGCCACAUUGGGACUGAGACACGGCCCAAACUCCUACGGGAGGCAGCAGUGGGGAAUAUUGGACAAUGGGCGAAAGCCUGAUCCAGCCAUGCCGCGUGAGUGAUGACGGCCUUAGGGUUGUAAAGCUCUUUCGUCAGGGACGAUAAUGACGGUACUGAAGAAGAGCCCGGCUAACUCGUGCCAGCAGCCGC